AACCAGGCCGUACGCUAUCAGCGGGUGCCCAACCCCGUCAGGACCGGAAGGUAGCAGCGGUAAGUACCUUGUUGAUGAGAUGUAACUUGUGCUUGGUUUCA
rnacentral:SRP_RNA from 1 species